AUGAACGCUGGCGGCGUGCCUAAUACAUGCAAGUCGAGCGAACAGACGAGGAGCUUGCUCCUCUGACGUUAGCGGCGGACGGGUGAGUAACACGUGGAUAACCUACCUAUAAGACUGGGAUAACUUCGGGAAACCGGAGCUAAUACCGGAUAAUAUAUUGAACCGCAUGGUUCAAUAGUGAAAGACGGUUUUGCUGUCACUUAUAGAUGGAUCCGCGCCGCAUUAGCUAGUUGGUAAGGUAACGGCUUACCAAGGCAACGAUGCGUAUCCGACCUGAGAGGGUGAUCGGCCACACUGGAACUGAGACACGGUCCAGACUCCUACGGGAGGCAGCAGUAGGGAAUCUUCCGCAAUGGGCGAAAGCCUGACGGAGCAACGCCGCGUGAGUGAUGAAGGUCUUCGGAUCGUAAAACUCUGUUAUUAGGGAAGAACAAAUGUGUAAGUAACUAUGCACGUCUUGACGGUACCUAAUCAGAAAGCCACGGCUAACUACGUG
rnacentral:rRNA from 1 species